AAGGGACAAAUGGACAUAAAAUACAUGCUCGCAUGUAUUUUUAUGUCUAUGGGGCCCGCAAAACAUGAGCAAGCAGCCAUUUUUCGCAGAAAAAUGAGCGGAUUGUGAAUGUUUUCAGGAUUCCGUGAGCGUGAAACGCGGAGAAAUCCGUAGGUAUC
rnacentral:sRNA from 1 species